GCACAACGCGAAGAACCUUACCAGCUCUUGACAUGGGUAGGACCGGUGCAGAGAUGCACUUUUCCCGCAAGGGACCUACCGCACAGGUGCUGCAUGGCUGUCGUCAGCUCGUGUCGUGAGAUGUUGGGUUAAGUCCCGCAACGAGCGCAACCCUCGCCUUUAGUUGCCAGCAUGUUUGGGUGGGCACUCUAAAGGAACUGCCGGUGACAAGCCGGAGGAAGGUGGGGAUGACGUCAAGUCCUCAUGGCCCUUAUGGGCUGGGCUACACACGUGCUACAAUGGCGGUGACAACGGGAAGCCAGGCAGCGAUGUCGAGCCGAUCCCAAAAAGCCGUCUCAGUUCAGAUUGCAGCCUGCAACUCGGCUGCAUGAAGGUGGAAUCGCUAGUAAUCGCGGAUCAGCACGCCGCGGUGAAUACGUUCCCGGGUCUUGUACACACCG
rnacentral:rRNA from 1 species